GACGAACGCUGGCGGCGUGCUUAACACAUGCAAGUCGAACGGAAAGGCCCUGCUUUUGUGGGGUGCUCGAGUGGCGAACGGGUGAGUAACACGUGAGUAACCUGCCCUUGGCUUUGGGAUAACUUCAGGAAACUGGGGCUAAUACCGGAUAGGAGCUCCUGCUGCAUGGUGGGGGUUGGAAAGUUUCGGUGGUUGGGGCUGGACUCGCGGCUUAUCAGCUUGUUGGUGGGGUAGUGGCUUACCAAGGCUUUGACGGGUAGCCGGCCUGAGAGGGUGACCGGCCACCUUGGGACUGCGAUACGGCGCAGAGUGCUACGGUAGGCAGCAGUGGGGAAUAUUGUACAAUGGGCGGAAGCCUGAUGCAGAAGCGCCGCGUGCGUGAAGACGGCCUUCGGGGUGUAAACCGCUUUCGCCUGUGACGAAGCGUGAGUGACGGUAAUGGGUAAAGAAGCACCGGCUAACUACGUG
rnacentral:rRNA from 1 species